rfam:Schistosoma haematobium scaffold525_11, whole genome shotgun sequence.
AUCCAACUGACGAGUCCUAGAUAGGACGAAAAGCGUAUCCUGAAU